rnacentral:rRNA from 1 species
UACGUAGGGGGCAAGCGUUGUCCGGAUUUAUUGGGCGUAAAGAGCGUGUAGGCGGCCACACAGGUCCGUUGUGAAAACUGGAGGCUCAACCUCCAGACGUCGACGGAAACCGUAUGGCUAGAGUCCGGAAGAGGAGAGUGGAAUUCCUGGUGUAGCGGUGAAAUGCGCAGAUAUCAGGAAGAACACCCGUGGCGAAGGCGGCUCUCUGGGACGGUACUGACGCUGAGACGCGAAAGCGUGGGGAGCGAACAGG